UACGAAGGGGGCUAGCGUUGCUCGGAAUCACUGGGCGUAAAGGGUGCGUAGGCGGGCUUUUAAGUCAGGGGUGAAAUCCUGGAGCUCAACUCCAGAACUGCCUUUGAUACUGAGGAUCUUGAGUUCGGGAGAGGUGAGUGGAACUGCGAGUGUAGAGGUGAAAUUCGUAGAUAUUCGCAAGAACACCAGUGGCGAAGGCGGCUCACUGGCCCGAUACUGACGCUGAGGCACGAAAGCGUGGGGAGCAAACAGG
rnacentral:rRNA from 1 species